rnacentral:tRNA from 1 species
AUUAUCAAAGGUUAUGAUACUUGCCUUCCAAGCAAGUGAGCCUGGUUCGAUUCCUGGU